GCGGUGGGGGAGUACGAGGAGGUGCUGGCCCGGCUCUCCUCGCUCAUCACGCAGAAGGUGCGCGCGGACACCGGCAACCGCGGCAACCAGUGGGACCUCAUGGGCCGCUACCUCCAGAUUCUGGAGCUGGAGGAGCCCAUGGCGCGGAUGAAGGUCAUCCAUGUCGCCGGCACCAAAGGUCAUCCAUGUCGCGCGGCCCGAUCGGGGAGCUCCGAUUCGUCUGCCCACCAGUCAGCAGCAGCAACCUAGUCGUCGUCGUCGAUGGCAGGGUUGUAACCUCACUGUCACGCUAAUGGACGCAAAAAAGAAGAGUGGUAGUACUAUCAAUGGUUCAGUCAGCGCCUCAACAGCGUCUGCACUACUUCUGAUAUUGUUUUUCAGUAGCUUUUUUCUGCACCUUUUUCUUUCAGUUCUUAGUGCUGCUGCCCCAUGAACACAUUUUUUUAAUUUGACUGUACAGUCAAAUGAAGCCUUUGUUAAGUAUACACUCCAAAAUUCAGUUAACAGUAGCCUAACUGAAUUUUUUGUUUCUGAAUUUAUAAACUCACUUUAUAUUCAGUUUAUAAAUUAACAGUAGCUUCAAAAUUAAGUAUCAUUCGCAUGGAUCAACUGUUAUUUUAUUUUGUGGAGGAUAAAGUUCAGAUCAUGAAUAAUGGCAUUACAAGUCAACUUGGCACAAUUACACAUGUCCUGAAUCUCAUAGAAUCUGACACUAGCAAGUCUUCAUUGGCAUGCAAGUACUAUUACAUUGUCAUGACAGGAACAAUUAAUUAUUUGACAUGUAUCAUUGGUACUGCUAAAACAUUUCGUUCAUGUUUCAACAAAUUUGGUGAAGACCACUUCAUAUGUAUUUUGCAUAUAUGAAUUAUCUCCUGUUGCUUUCUAAGAUGCUAUUUCUUUCAGUUCUAGCCCUCCUAUCUUUAAUUCCUGGCUGCUGGACUACCUGCAGGACAACGAGUUCAUCUGCGGCAGCUAUCGCUGUGAGCAGUCCGUCCGCGACGCGCUCCGCAGCGUCUUCGUCGGGCACAACGAGAUCCUCAACGUCUGGAAGGAUAAAGUGAAGAAAAAGAAGAAAAGAUUAUUAGAAGAUUAGUUUUAGGAUUUUCUUUUAUUU